UUAGUGAGGCUUCCUGACUGGCGCCGAUACUCUGGCAACAGAGCGUGGGAUGCCGGAAAGUUGGUCAAACUUGAUCAUUUAGAGGAAGUAAAAGUCGUAACAAGGUUUCCGUAGGUGAACCUGCGGAAGGAUCAUUACCGAUCAUGUAGCUGUAUGCUCUGUGAACUGUACCGCACCUUAUUCAGGGGUCGGCCCGGGGGGCCGUUAAAUGGCGAUCGGACGCGAGGCCAGGGUCUCGCGGCCGCUUUGCCUGCCCCGCCCUUGUUUUUCCUUGACAAUGUACGUGUCCUGUCGUCUGAUUGAUGUGGAGGCGUCCGCCUCCCGAGGUAGAAAAAAAUGCAAGAGACAACUUUUGACGGUGGAUCUCUUGGCUCACGCAUCGAUGAAGAACGCAGCCAGCUGCGAUAAGUAGUGUGAAUUGCAGAAUUCAGUGAAUCAUCGAAUCUUUGAACGCAAAUGGCGCUCUUGGGUUCUCCCAGGAGCAUGUCUGUCUGAGUGUCGGAUUGUCAUCCAUCGCCGGUGCGCGCUCCCGAGCGCGCGCCGGCGGCGUUGAGGCGUCACGGCCUUCCUGGAGUCGGCCGUGUCCCUUGAAAGGCAGAGAGACUCGCUGUGGUUCGGGGCUUGUUCCCGCAGCGCACCAGCGGAGGCUAAAAGUGUCAGCACUCCUUCGCGCGCUGCCGGGACCCCGCCGCGCCCGAGUCGCCCAGGCGAACGAGAGCUAUCCUCUUGACCUCAGAUCAGGCAAGGC
rnacentral:sRNA from 1 species